rnacentral:rRNA from 1 species
GUGGGGAAUAUUGGGCAAUGGGGGAAACCCUGACCCAGCGACGCCGCGUGAGGGAAGAAGGCCUUAGGGUCGUAAACCUCUGUUGUGUGGGAAGAAGAGCGUGACGGUACCACACGAGGAAGUCCCGGCUAACUACGUGCCAGCAGCCGCGGUAAUACGUAGGGGACGAGCGUUGUCCGGAUUUACUGGGCGUAAAGGGCGCGUAGGCGGUCAUUUAAGUCAGCUGUGAAAUGGUUUGGCUUAACCGGAUCAUGCGGUUGAAACUGUAUGACUGGAGUGCUGGAGAGGAAAGUGGAAUGCCCAGUGUAGCGGUGAAAUGCGUAGAUAUUGGGAAGAACACCGGUGGCGAAGGCGACUUGCUGGCCAGCAACUGACGCUGAGGCGCGAAAGCCAGGGGAGCAAACGGGAUUAGAAACCCCUGUAGUCC